rnacentral:rRNA from 1 species
UGAGGAAUAUUGGUCAAUGGGCGAGAGCCUGAACCAGCCAAGUAGCGUGCAGGAUGACGGCCCUAUGGGUUGUAAACUGCUUUUGUAUGGGGAUAAAGUCAGUCACGUGUGAUUGUUUGCAGGUACCAUACGAAUAAGGACCGGCUAAUUCCGUGCCAGCAGCCGCGGUAAUACGGAAGGUCCGGGCGUUAUCCGGAUUUAUUGGGUUUAAAGGGAGCGUAGGCUGGAGAUUAAGUGUGUUGUGAAAUGUAGACGCUCAACGUCUGACUUGCAGCGCAUACUGGUUUCCUUGAGUACGCACAACGUUGGCGGAAUUCGUCGUGUAGCGGUGAAAUGCUUAGAUAUGACGAAGAACUCCGAUUGCGAAGGCAGCUGACGGGAGCGCAACUGACGCUGAAGCUCGAAGGUGCGGGUAUCGAACAGGAUUAGAUACCCUGGUAGUCCGCACAGUAAACGAUGGAUGCCCGCUGUUGGUACCUGGUAUCAGCGGCUAAGCGAAAGCAUUAAGCAUCCCACCUGGGGAGUACGCCGGCAACGGUG